rnacentral:rRNA from 1 species
CUACGGGUGGCACCAGUGAGGAAUAUUGCACAAUGGGGGGUACCCUGAUGCAGCAACGCCGCGUGGAGGAUGACGCAUUUCGGUGUGUAAACUCCUUUUAUAUGUCAAGAAAAUGACGGUAGCAUAUGAAUAAGCACCGGCCAACUCCGUGCCAGCAGCCGCGGUAAUACGGAGGGUGCAAGCGUUACUCGGAAUCACUGGGCGUAAAGGGCGCGUAGGCGGGUUGGAAAGUCAGGUGUGAAAUCCUACAGCUUAACUGUAGAACUGCACUUGAAACUUGUAAUCUAGAGUAUGGGAGGGGGAGAUGGAAUUAGUGGUGUAGGGGUAACAUCCGUAGAUAUCACUAGGAAUACCUAAAGCGAAGGCGAUCUCCUGGAACAUUACUGACGCUAAGGCGUGAAAGCGUGGGGAGCAAACAGGAUUAGAUACCCUUGUAGUC